GGGGGGAGUAUGGUCGCAAGGCUGA
rnacentral:ncRNA from 4 species